rnacentral:lncRNA from 1 species
AGAUUUGGAUAGGAUUUUUAAAAAUUCGAAUCCGAACCUGAAAAUCGAAUUAAAAUUCAAAUUCGGACCCGAACCCGACAGAUUUUAAAAAUCCAUACUCAUAUCCGAACCCGACCGAAAACCCGAAACUCGAAUCCGAACCCGAAAUAAUGAUUUUUUUUUAUCAUAUUUCAAAAUAUAUUAUAGUAAAAUCAAAAUUUUUAAAAUAAAAUUUUCAAAACACAAUCAAAUACAACAUUAAAACAUUUAUGCCAUACAAUAUUAAUAUCUA